AAGUUGAUGUCCGAGUGGUUAAAGGAAGCGGAUUGUAAAUCCGUUGUGAUUUCACUACGUUGGUUCGAAUCCAACUCAACUUA
rnacentral:tRNA from 2 species